AUUGAACGCUGGCGGCAGGCCUAACACAUGCAAGUCGAACGGUAACAGGAAGCAGCUUGCUGCUUCGCUGACGAGUGGCGGACGGGUGAGUAAUGUCUGGGAAGCUGCCUGAUGGAGGGGGAUAACUACUGGAAACGGUAGCUAAUACCGCAUAAUGUCGCAAGACCAAAGAGGGGGACCUUCGGGCCUCUUGCCAUCGGAUGUGCCCAGAUGGGAUUAGCUUGUUGGUGGGGUAACGGCUCACCAAGGCGACGAUCCCUAGCUGGUCUGAGAGGAUGAGCAGCCACACUGGAACUGAGACACGGUCCAGACUCCUACGGGAGGCAGCAGUGGGGAAUAUUGGACAAUGGGCGCAAGCCUGAUGCAGCCAUGCCGCGUGUAUGAAGAAGGCCUUCGGGUUGUAAAGUACUUUUAGCGGGGAGGAAGGGAGUAAAGUUAAUACCUUUGCGCAUUGACGUUACCCGCAGAAGAAGCACCGGCUAACUCCGUG
rnacentral:rRNA from 1 species